rnacentral:tRNA from 1 species
UUAAUUGAAACCAAAAAGAGGUAUAUCACUGUUAAUGAUAUCAUUGAAUAAUAUUAUAUUCCAAUUAAG